rnacentral:rRNA from 1 species
GUGGGGAAUUUUGGACAAUGGGCGCAAGCCUGAUCCAGCAAUGCCGCGUGCAGGAAGAAGGCCUUCGGGUUGUAAACUGCUUUUGUACGGAACGAAACGGUCCUGGCUAAUACCCGGGGCUAAUGACGGUACCGUAAGAAUAAGCACCGGCUAACUACGUGCCAGCAGCCGCGGUAAUACGUAGGGUGCGAGCGUUAAUCGGAAUUACUGGGCGUAAAGCGUGCGCAGGCGGUGCUGUAAGACAGGCGUGAAAUCCCCGGGCUCAACCUGGGAAUUGCGCUUGUGACUGCAGUGCUGGAGUGUGGCAGAGGGGGAUGGAAUUCCGCGUGUAGCAGUGAAAUGCGUAGAUAUGCGGAGGAACACCGAUGGCGAAGGCAAUCCCCUGGGCCUGCACUGACGCUCAUGCACGAAAGCGUGGGGAGCAAACAGGAUUAGAUACCCUAGUAGUCC